GCAUUGGUGGUUCAGUGGUAGAAUUCUCCCCUUACAUGCAGAAGACCCAGGUUUAAUUCCUGGCUAAGGGA
rnacentral:tRNA from 1 species